AUUGAACGCUGGCGGCAGGCCUAACACAUGCAAGUCGAGCGGAUGAAGGGAGCUUGCUCCUGGAUUCAGCGGCGGACGGGUGAGUAAUGCCUAGGAAUCUGCCUGGUAGUGGGGGAUAACGUCCGUAAACGGGCGCUAAUACCGCAUACGUCCUUAGGUUGAAAGUGGGGGUUCUUCGGUCCUCACGCUUUUUGAUGUGCCUAGGUCGGAUUAGCUAGUUGGUUUGGUAAAGGCCUACCAAGGCGACGAUCCGUAACUGGUCUGAGAGGAUGAUCAGUCACACUGGAACUGAGACACGGUCCAGACUCCUACGGGAGGCAGCAGUGGGGAAUAUUGGACAAUGGGCGAAAGCCUGACCCAGCCAUGCCGCGUGUGUGAAGAAGGUCUUCGGAUUGUAAAGCACUUUAAGUUGGGAGGAAGGAAAGUAAGUUAAAACCUUGCUGUUUUGACGUUACCAACAGAAAAAGCACCGGCUAACUUCGUG
rnacentral:rRNA from 1 species